rnacentral:tRNA from 1 species
GCCUCUGUAGCUCAGUUGGUUAGAGCGCUGCACCGGAAUUGCAGGGCCGUGGGUUCAAUUCCUACCAGAGGAC